rnacentral:rRNA from 1 species
UAGUCAUAUGCUUGUCUCAAAGAUUAAGCCAUGCAUGUCUAAGUAUAAACAAAUUUGUACUGUGAAACUGCGAAUGGCUCAUUAAAUCAGUUAUAGUUUAUUUGAUGAUAACUUGCUACAUGGAUAACUGUGGUAAUUCUAGAGCUAAUACAUGCGUUAAAGCCCCGACUUCUGGGAGGGGUGUAUUUAUUAGAUAAAAAACCAACGCGGUUCGCCGCUCCCUUGGUGAUUCAUAAUAACUUGUCGAAUCGUAUGGCCUUGUGCCGACGAUGCUUCAU